rnacentral:lncRNA from 1 species
UGUAAGUGAGCUGAUGAUUCAAUAAUUUCCCCCUUUUUGGUGAUAAUUUGCAGUGUGCUUUAUCUUUUAUGGGAUACUGAAAACAAGGGUUAAAAAGUGCAUGAUGGAGUAGGAUCAUUCUAUGGAUACAUCAAAGGAACAGAUUGAAGGCAAUGCAACUUUUACAAAUAUUGAAGGUCAAGUGUUUUACUAUGCAGUUGC